GGGUUUGAAACUCAUUGGGUCAAAGCGCCCUCUUGACAAGCGAGUGUCCGGAAGUUCAUGCCUUCCCGGGCCCCCCA
rnacentral:tRNA from 1 species